CCAGCUCUUUAGGGAAGUGCAAUAUUACGACUUGCUACAAGUAACCCUGUCCGUGCCCAAAAUGUUCGAACCGAAGUGUACCUUGCUACCUUAAGGAAAUUUGAUGGAUUUUGCAUUUGUGCUAAACUCACUUUUCUAUCGCAAAACACAUUCAUACGCCAAUGCUGAUCAAAAUUAUGGCUCAUUUAUUAUUGAGUACUGUGUAUUUUAAGAGGAAUUUGCAUGUAAACAAAGGGAGGUAAUUCUGCCUGGAAAUGGCGAAAAAUGUAGCUCAGUUGAAAACAUACCGCAAUAUGUUCGAUGAGCUGUACAGAUCAUUGAAGCACUUCUGCACAUGGAAUGGUCAUUGGUACUACAACGAAUAAUGUUUGUCAUACACUUUUGAGCCUGGUGCACAUAUUGGUCCAUAUUUCUACAAGCAAGCUUGAUGUUCUUCAGCUCAGCCCGAAUUCUAGAGCGCAGACUUGUAGCCACUUGCUGGGAGCAAAGCACUGUGUCGCUGUCGUCUCGCCAGCUUUCGGACGACUGGUGUACGAAACAUCAUAUUCAAUGUCGGUUCCGCCUGAUGACUGUGCCAGUUUGAUUGCUGUCUUGUGCAGGCCUGAGUUUGUAUGGUAGGAUACCAGGUGUUGUACAGCUGGCGGCAUUGAGCACAUCAGCAGCUACAGACUUUUCCAGCCUUGUAACAGUCUUCACUUGUGAGUCUAGGCCAUGGAAAUCUUGAGUUUCAGCAUCAGCACUUGAAGCAUUUGAUGUCUCACUAACAAACUGUCUGCUAACAUUGCCAUUAUGGCCCUUUUUAAACCAGUUUUGUCUAGCUCUUUUACUCCUGUUACAACUUUUUCUAGAUUUUUUAGGAUAUUCCUUCAUAAUUCACUGUGCACUCAACAAAAGCUAUUAAGAAAUGGACAGAAAUGUGUUGUUAUCAUGAAGUGUGGGCUUAUCAGCUGGACAAAGUGUCAUAUUUCAGUAGAGCUCAUUAAUUAGUGUUUUUGUGGGUUUUUGUAAUAGUCUCUGCAGGUGGAAAUCUCAGUUCAGCAUGGUUUAAAGAUUUGCCUCCCUUGAUCUAAAGACUUUUUUUACUGUGAAAGAAUGGGGUUGAAUUCUCUGCUUUUUUUAUUGUUUGUACUUAUAUGGAUUAUUUAUAUUGAGCAAUAAGGCUUUUGUUUACACUUGUAAUACAAAGUAAUUUUGAUCUUACUAAUAUAUUUGUAUAUAAAAGCAUUUUAAGAGGGUAUGUGUCUUUCCGAAGAGUCGGCUAUGUUGAACAAACAUUGUAAAGUCAUUUUUCAUUCUGAUAUAGGUUUCUAAUAAAUAACUGGUAUUUUUGUAAGGCUGAUGUAUAACAGCUUACAAACAGAAAAUGAUUUUGGCCAUUUAUUCCUUUUCAGUCAUUUUUAUUUCAAGAAAUGAAGCUGUGUCUGAAGUAUUUUUAACUCACAUUUUUGUUACUUCCCUUGAUUUGCAGUAUACUUAAAUAAGAUGAAAUACACAACAAAUUAGUAAGAUUUAUUGUUUUCUGUCAGUUUUAUUUUAUUCAUAACAUAUUCUUUUACCAGAAUACAGUGGUAUAGGUAUGAACAAGAACCUCAAAAAAAGUCUUAAGGUAGCAGGGUACACUUCGAAUUUUGGCCCCCGUCAAUAUUUUUACUAAUUAGAAUAUGGUGAUUUUGGAUGUCUGUAAAUUACAGUGAGAAAUAAUGAUUGUUAAUUCUU
rnacentral:lncRNA from 1 species